UACGUAGGGCGCAAGCGUUGUCCGGAAUUAUUGGGCGUAAAGAGCUUGUAGGUGGCUUGUCGCGUCUGCCGUGAAAACCCGAGGCUCAACCUCGGGCGUGCGGUGGGUACGGGCAGGCUAGAGUGUUGUAGGGGAGACUGGAACUCCUGGUGUAGCGGUGAAAUGCGCAGAUAUCAGGAAGAACACCGAUGGCGAAGGCAGAUCUCUGGGCCAUUACUGACACUGAGAAGCGAAAGCAUGGGGAGCGAACAGG
rnacentral:rRNA from 1 species